rnacentral:rRNA from 1 species
GAUGAACGCUGGCGGCGUGCCUAAUACAUGCAAGUCGAGCGAACGGACGAGAAGCUUGCUUUUCUGAUGUUAGCGGCGGACGGGUGAGUAACACGUGGAUAACCUACCUAUAAGACUGGGAUAACUUCGGGAAACCGGAGCUAAUACCGGAUAAUAUUUUGAACCGCAUGGUUCAAAAGUGAAAGACGGUCUUGCUGUCACUUAUAGAUGGAUCCGCGCUGCAUUAGCUAGUUGGUAAGGUAACGGCUUACCAAGGCAACGAUGCAUAGCCGACCUGAGAGGGUGAUCGGCAACACUGGAACUGAGACACGGUCCAGACUCCUACGGGAGGCAGCAGUAGGGAAUCUUCCGCAAUGGGCGAAAGCCUGACGGAGCAACGCCGCGUGAGUGAUGAAGGUCUUCGGAUCGUAAACCUCUGUUAUUAGGGAAGAACAUAUGUGUAAGUAACUGUGCACAUCUUGACGGUACCUAAUCAGAAAGCCACGGCUAACUACGUG